UUUUCAGAUUUUUAAAACCCAAUUAUUAUUAUGCUCUUUCUCUUUUACUGAAUGUUCUCUUAGAAAAAAAAAGUCGGCUUUCCAAUUUUGACUUUCCGCAGCUUAUAAUUAAAAAAACAAAUACGCAGUCACCAAUCACCAUCACAUUUCCAAGCAGAACUCCAAUGGCGAAGAAGAGUGAGGGAGGAAUGUCUUUCGAUGGAGUCAUUGGAGCCAUGCCUGUUUUCGCCAAGGAGCUUCUCGCCGGUGGAGUUGCCGGCGGCGUCGCUAAAACUGCCGUAGCUCCUCUUGAACGAAUCAAGAUUCUUUUCCAGACGAGACAAGCGGAAUUCAAAAGUAUUGGUUUAGUAGGUUCGUUUACUAAAAUAGCUAGAACGGAGGGAAUACUCGGUUUCUACAGAGGGAACGGGGCAAGUGUCGCACGGAUAGUUCCUUAUGCAGCACUGCAUUACAUGGCAUAUGAGGAGUACAGACGACGGAUCCUUCUUUCUUAUCCAGAUGUCUGGAAAGGCCCUGUGCUUGACCUUGUUGCAGGGUCAUGUGCAGGUGGAACUGCUGUUCUUUUUACAUAUCCUCUUGAUUUAGUGCGUACAAAGUUGGCUUAUCAGGUUGUUGGAUCUUCCAAUUCAAAUGUUAAAGGGCUUAUUCACCAAGAGCAAUUGUACAGAGGAAUUCGUGACUGCUUUUCCAUGACAUUUAAAGAAGCUGGUUGGAAAGGUCUUUACCGGGGAGUAGCACCGUCACUUUACGGAAUAUUUCCAUAUGCGGGAUUAAAAUUUUACUUCUAUGAGGAGAUGAAGAGCCAUGUAUCCGAGGAACGCAAAAAAGAUAUCAUGGUGAAAUUGACAUGUGGCUCUGUAGCUGGAUUAUUGGGCCAAACCUUCACAUAUCCUCUUGACGUUGUUAGGCGGCAAAUGCAGGUUGAGCGGAUGUCUAAUGUUAGUAAUACAAAAGGAACUUUGCACACACUUUUUGCUAUAGCUCGAAAACAAGGCUGGAAACAUUUGUUCUCGGGGCUAAGUCUGAAUUAUUUGAAGGUUGUGCCCUCGGUUGCUAUUGGCUUCACUGUGUAUGAUUCAAUGAAGUUGUUCCUGCAAGUUCCCUCCCGAGAUGAAGCCAUUAUUGCCAAUCACACCAAUAACCACACGUCGUCCCUUCAUUCUUAAAAGCCAUUGAAUACUCAGAUACACUGAUUCAGUAUAGCAUUGAAUAAUUUAAACUGUAUAUCUUUGCAGCAUCUUCAUAUUUUGAAGGGAGUUUGAAGUGAAUAAAUUCAUUUUGCUUCGUCCCCUGACUCAGUUUGAUGCCUGUAGAAAUUCUGCCAACACUUGAAGGGUACGUGUCAAUUUAAACCAGGUAUGGAUUGGCAAGAAGAAGAAGAAUAGUCUACUGGAGCAUAUACAAAAGAGAACUUUGCAGCAUCUUCAUAGAAGGGAGUUUGAAGUGAAUAAACUCAUUUUUCUUCGUCUCAUGACUCAGUUUGAUGCCCGUAGCAAUUCUGCCAACACUUGGAGGGUGUCGAUUUAAAACCAGGUUAGUCAACUGCUUCAAUUUUUUUUAAUUUAAUCCUCCUCUAUUUGACUCUGUUAUCGGCUGAUCUUAGUGAUUACACUUCUAUAUGUGCUUCUCAGCCAUAUCUAGUUUAGUCCAUGCUUUCUAAUUUUAUACCCUUGCUUAGGAGUACUUGGUUGGACUGCUUCCAUAUAGGGCCGUGUUUGGUUCAGGAGACCAUUUUAAGUUGAACAUAUAUAUUUUCUUUGGAAAUAUCAUUUGAGUGGGAAUUGGUUCUGAAACUUCAUUUGUUUUUUUUUAAUAAUUAAAAGUUAUUUUAUAAUUGUUUUUACUUUCUUAAAUAUGUUUUCUAAGAAAGGGAUACAUUCUAGUAAGAUGCCUCCACAAAGUCACAUAACAAGAGAGAUGUCAAAAGUUGUGGCUUGGUAGAAUUUGAUGACGAGAAGUCGCUAUUAAUUGGCUUGUCUAAGUCUUCCAUGACGUUGAACAAGACUUGACCUGUUUUUCUACGAGAGUUAGGCUAAUUGGAGAACUAGUUCAAGAGUAAGCAAAGUGUCUAACUUGUUAGAAACCCGAAAUUAAUUAAUGGAUUAGUGCAUUACAAACUUUUAUGUAAGGCGGUUUUAUACAAAAGACCGUCUUGGUGUCAUAUAAGUUAAGCAAUGGAACCAAGUAGUUCAGCACUUGAACCAAUUAGUUAAGCUCUUGAACUAAGUAGUUAAGUAAUGGGGAUAAUUAGUUAAGCAUUGGAACUAAUUAGUUAAGCAUUGGAACUAAUUAGUUAAGCAAUAUAGCUAAUUAGUUAAAUGGAACCCAUUAGUUAAGCAAUCAAAAUGGUCUUUUCGGUAAGGCGGUGUUACACAAAAGUUGUCGUUAGUGCAUUAUUUGAGUAAUGAAGACGGGAUUGAAACAUGCUAAAAACAGAAACUAGAUAAUUAUUACUAAGUUGAGAGUAAUAUAAGGCAGGGCCGAGGCCGACUGCAAGUCUGCAACACAAACACAAACCCCUUUUAAAGAGUUCAAAUUAUUCCCUUUGUUUUCGUAACAAAGAUACACUAGAUAGAAAUGUAGCCAUUAGAGGUUGAGGUGUAAACUAGCUUAGCAAGAAAGGUUAUUUCCAGGUGAAACACCAAUCUGCUGACAAUACUGAGUAUAGUAACUAACACGAGCAUUGACAGCAGCUGUGUUUCCUCCACCACAUUCCAUUCCAUUGAUAGCUCGAAUGGUUGACCCAAACCCUUGACCAGAGGUGAUCUUAGAAUGAACAUUGUUCAUCCAAAACCAGAAUCCUGUCUUGAAGGCAACAACAGCGUCGUUUGCAACAGUUUCUGGUGAAUUCAAACCGUCAAAUCCAAUGCUUCUACCUGCAGGUAUGUAGUUGUAGUUCCAUGAUAUUUGAAUUGGUCCUCUGCCGUAGUAUUGCUUGCUUGGAUUACAGGGGAAUUGUGCACUGGAUUGACAGUAGGUUGAUUUCGCAAUCUCCUCUUUAUAGCAAAAAUCUACAAGAAAUUGAAACAAGUUUCAUGUGAUCAAUACGUUGUUGUUGAGUUUUGUAAACAUUCAAAGGCAAUUAAAGGUAUAUAUUCAACUAUAUUAAGUCCCGUGCAUGCAAGGAUAGAAAUACAUAAAAGAAUAAAUAAAACAGAGAUAUUUUAGGAAAAUAUUUUUGGCGGGAAAAUUUUACACAAGGAGCGACACGUGUCUCUCCUGGUGUCUGUUUUAGUAUAAUAUAUAUAUAGAUAUAUAGAUAGAUUCAUAAUAGUGAUCGACUUACGUCCAGUUUCAUGGGUGUAAUGAGCAAACAUGGCAGCAACUUCACGCUUCCUAUCGUCAGAGGAUCCUACAGUGCCGAACUGAGGAUAGCUAUUGAGAGCACUCAGGAAAGCAGACCUGGUGUAGAAGUUCUUACCAGCACAGCCUGAGCCUGCUUGGUUAACGAUCCCAUUAAAGAAGGAGUCGGUCACUAAACUCGAGACCGAACCACCACCACCGCUUGGAGUUGGGGUGGGAGUAGAGGGAGUUGAACCAGAAGUACAAGGGCCUUGUCUGCAGUCUUUGCCACAGUAGGCGUCUGAUGUGCCACAGUAACCAUAUUUACUACAGCAAAAACCAGGUGCACAGCCACAGUUUUGAGCCGCGACUAGGGCACUUGACAAACAAGCAACCACCACGAGUGUGGCGAGCAUUGGUGGGAGGGAAGACAUUUUUAGUUGUUGAGUGUUUCUGAGUGUGUGUGUGAUGUGUGAUGAGUGAUGAGUGGAAAUGGGUUGGUUUAUAUAAGAAAAAUGAAAGAGAAGAAGACAUGAAUCAUAUAGUAAAAUAUUCAAAGUGUUGACAAUUGACUUUGGAUGGGGCAGCCAGUUUAUGCGAAUGACAACUUUGACUUGUUCAAGGAGUAUGAGUGAAUGAGUGAAUGAUAUUUUAUGCAUUCAUUCGUUCUUCAUUUUAAUUAUGAUGGGCAUGGAUUGGCAAGUAGAAGAAGAAGAAUAGUUUAUUGGAGUCUGGAGCAUAUACCAUUAUUUAUUUUAUGAUUAAUGAUUAUACCCCAUCUAAGUCAUUUUCGUCUCUGACUUUGUGGACCGCCUCUUGGAACUUGGCCACUUGGGAGAGGUUGUGGGGACAGGGGAGUCGGAAGGUGGAUGGAUAAGGAAAAUAUACGCUCGUAAGAAAUAUAGUCGCUUACUUUCUACGUUUUUUUUACUUGCACAAGUUAGAUUGGAUACAAAGAAUAAGAAAAAGUGUAAAUAUCACCAACAAAAUAGAGCGAAAAUGUUAUGUAACAAAUGGUAAAUGUGAAAAUGUGGGAGUAUAAUUUCUCAUCUGUUUCUUACAAAAGAAAGUUGAGUACACAUUUGUAAGAGUGAGAGUCGGGUUAUAACCUGAUGAUCUCUUUCAGAAGAAAAAAGGACCGAGACAAACUACUUAUUGUCUCUUAGGUAGGUUUUAUUGUUUUUUUUUUUUGACAUUUUUAUAGUACGUAGAUUAGUGUCAUUUGCUCAUAUGUAUUGCAAAUGAAUAAAUUUCCAAAGGAAUUUGUAUCAAUUUAAAUAUUAUGUUAUUUAUUAAUUUAUUCAACUCAAGUAUGGAGUCAUAUUUGUUGGAUAUUUUAAUAGAACAAUGCAAUAACAUCACAUAAACUCCUUAAUCC